AACAUAAUCAGAUGUUUCUUGGUAUUUUGUUUGUUGGUUUGUUUGUUUUCAGAAAUCUGUAAGCUGUUCCUAAGAUUCACACACAAUCCAGUAGAACAAAUAACCAAAACAACCUUAAAAGAAGAAAUUAAAGUGAGAAGAGAACUUCCCAAUUGCAAACCAUCCCUCUUUCCAGGUCUAUAAAGUUGACAACCAAGAUUAGCCACCCCAAGGGCUAACUGUGAUCAAAUUGCAUUCUGUGUCUGCAUGGAAGCUCUCAGUGAAACUCCCUACGCUCUUCCUGUGCCCAGGUAACAUGUACUGAGAAAUAUGCAGGUAAAAUCCGUGGAGAAAGAGAAAAGAAGAGGAAGAAAAUGCAUGCUUGGGCACCCUCUGAGACCUGGAGCCUCUCCAUGUUGUACGCUCCAGAUCAUUUGAGCGAAGGUAGCUUCCACACCUGAGACCACCAAGCAGUUGGUCACAUUGUAGCCGUGUGACCCACUUUCUCCUUUCGCUUCAGUCUGGGAGCCUAGCCCACUGAGAGCACCACUCAAGCUUCAGGUGAGUCUUCCCUCUUUGGUUUGACCUUCCCAGAAAUACCCUUAUGGUCAUACCCAGCGAUGUGCUUCUGUGGUUGUUCUAACUCCAGGCAAAUUGACAGUGGAGAUUAACCCUGUGCAGGAAGGGCGUGGUCCUUCCUGUUUUGUGUGGCAGAGACUUCUCUCAAUGCUGCCCGACACCUGACAGAUGCUGAGUAUAGGGGAGAUUGCGUUGAAGGUGCCCUGCCCACCCCUUCCUUCCCUCAGCCAAGAACACAAGAGCAUCAGGAAACUCCAUUGUUAAUCAGAAGCACGUUAAAUCAAACGGACAUACAUAAAAGCAACAGCCGAGGUCUGUCAGCCUGGUGGACUUGCACAGCAGAAACCUAUAAAAACAUUUUACAAGAGGGACAAGCCAUUUACGGUAAUACUGAGAAUUUUAUGUGCUGUGCAAUUAUCCAAGCUCCGGUGUCACCUUUUGACAUGACUGAUGACUGUCUGAGGCUGCAAAUCCAUCUUACAUCAUUUAUUUCCCCAAAUAAAAUAAAGAGAAUUAACAUCUGGGAGGAACUUUAAGAGGCUUUAAGAACUCUUCCUGAGAGAAAAUGAUAUACCCUGUGAGAGCAAAGAGCAGACUGAAGAUUUCUAAUGCCAUAGAAGGUAUUGAAGACUUAAAAAACAAAAACAAAACAAACAAACAAAAA
rnacentral:lncRNA from 1 species